rfam:Clostridiales bacterium GWD2_32_59 gwd2_scaffold_2852, whole genome shotgun sequence.
AAAAUCCAAUCGGGUAAGUGCGAGUCGGCACUCCUGUACUUAGCCUUGGGGACUGUAAAAGAAUGAACAAUUGCGGUAACGCACAGGCUUAAGCGUAGGCAAAGGAGAAAGCGAACCAAAAUCAAUAGAUGAAGCGUAACAUAGACCCGGAAAUAGGUGUAUAAGUCGGAGAGGUCGAUGGUAAGUUCGAGCCCGCAGACAAAAUCUACUAUGUGCAAAUCGGCUAAAGUGAUAGUAGACUCUCCUCGGGGCACAGAGCU